CAAAAUGAUGACAACGAAAACAACAUCAAAGAUACAUUGGAACAACAUCGACAACAACAGCAGGCGUUUUCUGAUAUGAAUCGCGUGGAGUACUCAAGAAUUACA
rnacentral:other from 24 species